rnacentral:SRP_RNA from 1 species
GGAGACCGGCGGUGGACGGCCGCCUCGCUAACCCGGUCAGGUCCGGAAGGAAGCAGCCGUAACGAGAUUAGGUCGGGUCACCUGUCCGGCCUCCCGC